rnacentral:antisense_RNA from 1 species
GAGGCGGGUCGGGAGAGGGCUGGGGAACGGAAGGGGUACCCGGGGAGCAUCCUAAGGGAACCUCUUCGCUUAAAAGGGCGGCCGCUGAAGUGGCUCUGAGAACAAAGGAGUUAACAUUCGGACUCCACAGCCUGCGUCCCAGCCCGGUCAGCAUCGCAGAUGUUACCCAAACUCUGACGGUCCCUUUAAGAACUCACCUGGAGUCGCGCCCUCCGAAGCUGAGCCGCCGUCGGCCAGCGCUGCAGGCCCCAGCUUAUAAAUCUAUGAAGGUGUCCAGGUCCUGCCAGACUCCACUGCAUCUUUUGCUUUCACUCCAGCAGAGUAGCAGCAUGCUGCCUGUGCCAAGGCAAUCACUAAAAGGAAAGGAUUUAAUGCUGUCAAAAAAGCUUAUGCCAGCUUAGGCUGCAAGAAGAGGAACAGUGUCAAGUAUGUUGAAAGUGGCCAUAUUGGUCAGACCUCCAUGAGAGCCUAGGGGGCAUUGCUUAGCAGCACACUUUUA